UACGGAGGGAGCUAGCGUUAUUCGGAAUUACUGGGCGUAAAGCGCACGUAGGCGGCUUUGUAAGUAAGAGGUGAAAGCCCAGAGCUCAACUCUGGAAUUGCCUUUUAGACUGCAUCGCUUGAAUCAUGGAGAGGUCAGUGGAAUUCCGAGUGUAGAGGUGAAAUUCGUAGAUAUUCGGAAGAACACCAGUGGCGAAGGCGACUUACUGGACGAUUGUUGACGCUGAGGUGCGAAAGCGUGGGGAGCAAACAGG
rnacentral:rRNA from 1 species